AGAAAAAAAGAAAAAAGUAAAAACAGAAAAAGGCAAAAAAAAUUGGGAGAGAAAAGGAGUAGAGAAAAAAGAAAAAUGAAAAUAAAAAAAUAAACAAAAUGAAAAAGAGAGAAGUCAAAAACAAACUAGCUAGGGUCAAAGGCCGACAGGUCACCAAAGCUUCCUGGGCUGUAAAGACCAAACACCCAGCCGAGCCAGGGUCUUAUAUAGACAGGUCUUGCCAUGACUUCACAAUGGGGCUUUGUGAGGGCACAGCAAGAAAUGGGCCAAUUAUGCAAUCAUGGCUGGGGAUGUCUGAGACCACAGUGGUUUCCUCACUUUUUAUUCCCAAAACCCCUUUACUCAAUAAAAAAAAAAGACCCCCAAUGGGCUUUUUGUUUGUUUGUGUGGGCUUUUCAAGAUUGAUAUUUACUUUGUUAGAAAUCAAAAUCUAUAAGAUGGUUCAGUGGCCUUUUCACUUCAAGUUUAGAAAACUGUAAUUUUGGCUUGUAUAGACCUCGUAAUGUCUACACUUAAAAUACCCAGUUCCUGGUCUCAAAAUGGUGCUACAACAUAUAAGGAAAUGUUGUGUUGUGUAAAACACGAUAAGGCUCAUUAUUAACAUCUAUAAAGCUCAGAGGAAGAUUGCUUCUCAUCAUAUUUUCACUGAUAAGGUUGUGAGGAGAUUUCUCAUCAGAAACCUUGGAGGCUAGAAGGCAUGGGUUGAUGUGUUUAAAGCAUUGAAGGAAAAAAGCUGUCAACCAAGAAUCCUACAUUUGGGAAAACUGUCCUUCAAAAAUGAGGAAGAAAUGAAGACAUUCCCAGAUCAACCAAAGCUGAAAGCCUUGCCCUGAUGACUAGACCGGCCCUGCAGUGAAGGGGGUCCUUCAGGUUGAAAUGAAAGGGCACUGAACAAGUAACUCGAAGCCUUCUGAAGAGAUAAUCUCGGGUAAAGGUAAACAGACAGACAAUUAUGAACGCUAGUACUGUUAUGACUUUGGUCUGUAGCUCUACUUUUUGUUCUCUAUGUUAAGAGACUGAUAUAUUUAAAAACCUAAUUAUUCAUCUAUGCUUUUGGACACAAGAUGCAUAAAGAUGUGAUUUUGUGACAUUAACAACUGACAGAAGGUGGGGUCAGGGCUGUAAAGUAGCUGAGUUUUCAUGUGUUAUUGAGGUUAAGCUGGUAUAAAUUGAUACUACAAUGUUGUAACUUUAGGAUGUUAAAAGCAAUCCCAUGGUAACCACACACAACCACACACACACACACACACACACACGCCACAGAACAUACACAAAAGGAAAUGAGAAGGGAAUUAAAAUGUUUCACUACAAAAAAAAAUCAACUAAAUGCAAAAGAAGAUAGUCAUGCAGAAAAUUUGAGACAGAAAGCAAUUAAGGCAUAUAGAAAACAAAGAGCAAACCACAGAAGGAAUUCCUUCCUUAUCAGUAAUGACUUUAAAUGUAAGCAGAUUAAACAGAUUAGUGAAAUGGAUAAAAACAUAGGAUCCAACUCUCUGUUACCUACAAGGGACUCAGAUCCAAAGACACAAAAAAGGUGAACGUGAAAGGAAGGAAAAAGAUAAUCCAUGCAAAUAGUAGCCAAAAGAAAGGGUGGAGUGGCUGUAAUAAUACCAGACAGAACAGACGUUAAAUCAGAAAAUGUUACAAGAGACAAAGAAGGACAUUUUAUAUGAAUUAAGAGGUUCAGUACAGCAAGAAGAAAAGAUGAUAAACAUUUACACACAUAAUGAGAGGCCAUUAUCGACAGAACUGAAGGGAAAAAUAGUUCUAUAAUAAUCGUUGGAGCCUUCCAUAUCCCACUGUCAAUAACGGACAGGACAACCAGACAGAAGGUAAGUAAGGACACAGAGGAUUUGAAGAACACCAUAGCCCAGCCAGAUCUAACAGACGGGCACGGGACCCCACCCAACAAUAACGGCACGCGGGACCUUCUCUGAGACAGUCUUUGCAUUAGGUCACGAGUUAAGUCUCAGUAGAUUUCACAAGAUAGAUAUCAUACAAAGUAUCUUUUCCAACCACAAGAAGAUGAAGUCAGAAAUGGGUAACAGAAGGAAGAGUGGAAAAUUUAAAAAGCUGUGAAAACUGAAAACACACUCUCAAAGAACCAAUGUGUCGAAGAAGAAAUCACAGUGGAAUGCGAACAUACGUAGAGGUGAAGGGAAAUGAAACACGACGCGUCAAAACUCCUGGAAAACAACAAAGCAGUGGCGAGGGGGAAAUUUAUAGCUGUAAACGCUCACAGUAAACAUCAAGACAGAUCUUAAAUCAACACCAUAGACGUGCAACUUAAGAAACUAGAAAAAGCCAAAGGUAGCAAAGGGAAGGACAUAAUAAAGAUUAGAGCGGAGAUAAAUGAAACAGAGGCUAGAAAAACGAAAGAGAUAAUCAAUGGACCCAAGAGCUGGUCCUUUGAAAACACCAAACUGCUAGCCGGAUUGCCGGUGGAGGCAGAGAAGACUCAAUGACUGCAUUGCCACUGACUCCUUACAGACGUAGGAAGGGUUAGAGUGCUAUCAACAAGUGUAUUCCAGCUAAUUGGAGAAUCCAGAUACAAUGGACCAAUUUCUAGACCUAGAAAACCUACCAAGACUAAAUCACAAAGAAAGAGAAAAUCGGAAGAGAUUCGUACAUAACUAGGGAGGAGCCUGAGGCUGUAAUCAAAGAUCACUUGACCAAAAAAAGCCCCGGAUCUGACAGCCUCACUGGUGAAUUCUACCAAACAUUGGAAGAAUUGACACCAAUCUUCUCAAACUCUUCCAAAAAAUUCAGGAAAGAACACUUCCUAACUAGUUCUAUCAGGCCGCCAUUGCUUUGAUGCACCCUAAAUAUCUCUGGGCCACCUUCCAGACAGUCACCAGAGGAGUUUUCUAAAAUAUCCAGCCAGAUGAGUUAUUUUCUCAGCGACAAAAGAGACCUUUCUCUGGUCUGUGGAAAGAGAGGACCAGCAGUGUCUCCAGAAUCAGGCUGAACAUCUAUGGACCUCUUCUGAGAGCCUCCGUCCACAACGGAUGGGCCACACCGCAGACUGGACACAGCUGAAGCGGGGCAGGGGGUGGGGUGGGGAGGGGAGAAUUCACGGAGGUAACCUGGGCUUCAAUUGGUCUGUCAGCUGCUUUGACUGCUUUGGGCAUCUUUGAAUACAACAAGCCAUGUCCUCGUUGGACACUGGGAAAGGACAAUCUAUCUGCACAUCCAGCCCUAUGGGCUGGAGUCUCCCAAACGAGGCCAUCGUUUGUUUUGGCAACUCUGCUCCACCACAACAUUCAUCAGACUCCUGAGAAAGACGACCGAUGAAGGGAUCCAUAAAUGAAGUUCGAUACGAAUCCGUUCUCCUUGCAACAGGACGCCACUGGAAACAUUGGUCAUGUUGCCAAGGCUUUGACUGGAAUGUCAUAGUUGAGGGAGAUAUGCCUAGACUCAGCUACAAUCAGAGAGCUUUAAGGAGCUAAUUAAGGUUGACUUUGCCGAGCCAAUGAAGCCCCUUGGAAAACUGGCCUCGUACCUUGCUUACAAAGUUUCCAGCAGCCCUACCAGGUGAAUAAGGAAGGUCGUCACUUCCUGGCAGGUGCAGGAACCUCAGGGUAUUUGGGGGAUCUCGAGAAGAGAGGGAGCCACCCACACCUAUAGGUAUGGCAGGCAAAGGCUGAUGGCCAGUAUUUGGCUUGGCUUCUUUAGCCUGACAAGGCUGUUAAAAGUUCAAUCUGACAUUCCUUACGAAAAGUUCCAGCGAAGCAGAUUGAAAAAACCCAACACCUAUAUGACCAAUCACCGUUGUGAUGGCGCUUGUGUAAACAGGCCCAGCUUCAACUGGACAAUUUCACAAACAAACGUGUCCUAAUCUGGCUCUCUUUGGCGGAGAUGAGGGUGGUUUCAGAGAGAGAGAUUGUUCCAGUAACACACCUGUGAAAAUGUAAGAUCAUGGUUCCGAUGAGCCGUCUUGGAGGCUUCGUUGGUUGUCUAUACACCUGGGCUGGGUCCUGACUUCUUCUGGUUUCCUUGAAUAUCUGACCCUGACUCUCCAAACUAAGGUUUCCAGUUUUCUCCCACCGUGUUGACUGGAAGCCCUGAGAACGAACACUGCUUUUCCCUGAAGCCCCGCAAACCGAAGCCAGGCCAGCCGAGGUACACGUGAGAGAAAAGUGGCCCGGUGAUCUAAGGGCCACUCAGAAAGAUCGCCAGAGACACACGGAGAGCUGAACAAGCUGAUCGCAGCCAUCCCGACUGGACAAGCUGCCAUCGGAGCAUCCAGACGUGGACGUGUUCACGGAUGGGGACAGUGUCACGGGUCAAAGACAAGGAAGAGCUGGGUGCAGUGGUGACCCAUCAGCUACCGUCUGCUGCGGAAGACGCCACAAAGUGGACCGACUGCCCAAGGGAACCAUGCUGGCAGCCCGUCAAAGACUCCAAGACCCUCUGGGAGAGCUCUCGUGCCAAAGAUAGACUUAACUACAUAUCAACCCCAACGUCCCUUGGAGGACCAAAGAGGAGUUAAGUAAGGAGUGGGGGUUUGGACACCGUGCUGGCCUUGACACCGGCUGGAAAUAGAAGGAAUCCUUACCCUAGAGCAUCUGAUGAAAGAAAUAAUUAGCCACAUUCCUCGAAGCACCCGUUAUGGGAAAGAUGCCCCUCUCCAGUGGAUCCAGAAGUAUACUGCGGGCUCCGAUUUCAGCGAAAUGCUACAAAAGGCAACGCUUGUGCUAAAAACAAUCCUAAGACUGGGUGCCCACAAGUUCUCAAGGGUAUACAACUGAGACGCCCCAAACCUGGGGAAGACCGGCACGCAGCCUUUCCCAGAAUGCAAAGAACAAUGGGAAAUUCUCGGGGUUUGCUUGUAUCUGCAGACACCUUUAUCAACGGGGUUGAGGUUCCUCCCUGCUGUUCAGAGAAGGCCUCGGGAGUGGUCAAAAUGCUUUGAAGCGAGAUCAUUUCUAGGUUUGGACUGCCGCUAAUAAUUCAGAGUGACAAUGGAGUGACAACCACAGCGUCCAAGGCCUUGGGCAUUCAGUGGAAAUCACACGCUUCCUGGAGACACCGAGAGAGUGGAAAAAGGGAAAAAAAUGAACUUUGGCAAAGCUCUGCCAAGAAACCCACUUCACUUGGGAACAACCCGUGCCAUCUGCCCUGCUUUGGGAAAGAGUGGUCCCUAGAAGAGGGCUUGGUUUAAGCCCCUGUGGAAUGUCAUAUGCAAGACUUUCUAUGUUCUUUCGUGACCUAGGAGGUGCUGGCGGGGCUCCCACCAGCGAUUUGGAUACAUCCAGGGCCUGCGUUUGCUUCCGGCAGGCUGAUGUACCUCACAGAUGUGUCUUCACGCUGCCUGAAUCCCUUGGUGACAUCCAAAGGUGUCACUAAAGAUGUCACUAAAGACCUGAAGAGCGGGAGCCCAGAGGACCAGCUCCAGCCUCACUGUCCAGGUCAGACCCUGCGAGGUGCCGUUGACCCCCCACUCCCCGGAGACUACAGGGAAUUGAGCCGUGGAUUCACACUUGAAUGACAAGAAUCCACAGGUUCCCUACACCUGUCAGCAGGGAGGAGGUCGAAAGGGACCCGGCUCAGACCAGUGAGCCUCUGCCGGACCUGAACCUCCGACGCGGGGGAACUGGUCCAAGGGAAUCAAGCCACGAGGACAACAUGCUGCCUGUUGUUCUCUAGUACCCCUAAAGCCCUAGACACAACAUGGUACAGGAACUAUUGACCAAAGUACAAAAAUCCCGGUAAUGCAGGACAUUCCUUUCCACCCCAAAGUUUCCCCUUGUCUAACCCCAGUCUCCACCCCACCUCAGCAGGAAGUAACGGCCGCGGCCGGGUGGUGGUCCCAAUACCCACAAGAAUGAGGACGGGUCAAAAGACCCUGGGGACUGAAAAGGGUAACCAAAGGGCUAGCAGCCGCAACUCUGUACCCUGACCUUUUUCCUUCGCCACUAAGUACCCCUGACUCUCCUCCUCUAGGGAGGUGGAUGUGAGGCUCGCCCUCCUGCCUCUGGAAUAAACUCUUGCUUUGCUUUA